rnacentral:rRNA from 1 species
UACAGAGGUCUCAAGCGUUGUUCGGAUUCAUUGGGCGUAAAGGGUGCGUAGGCGGCGCGGUAAGUUCGGGUGUGAAAAUCUCGGAGCUUAACUCCGAAACUGCAUUCGAUACUGCCGUGCUUGAGGACUGGAGAGGAGACUGGAAUUUACGGUGUAGCGGUGAAAUGCGUAGAUAUCGUAAGGAAGACCAGUGGCGAAGGCGGGUCUCUGGACAGUUCCUGACGCUGAGGCACGAAGGCCAGGGGAGCAAACGGG